rnacentral:rRNA from 1 species
CCCGUAGGGGGCAAGCGUUGUCCGGAAUCAUUGGGCGUAAAGCGCGUGUAGGCGGCCAGAAAAGUCCGCUGUGAAAACUCGAGGCUCAACUUCGAGCUGUCGGUGGAAACUUUCUGGCUAGAGUCCGGAAGAGGAGAAUGGAAUUCCUGGUGUAGCGGUGAAAUGCGCAGAUAUCAGGAAGAACACCCGUGGCGAAGGCGGUUCGCUGGGACGGUACUGACGCUGAGACGCGAAAGCGUGGGGAGCGAACAGG